UAAAUGCAAGUUGUGUUAACUAAUACUCCUAUCCCACUCACUCCUGGCACUCACUACAUCAAUGCAUUCCUUUAGGCAAAUCCUGCUGGACCACGGCCUGAUCCGCCGGAGCCUGGCCCCUCUCGCUCUUCGGGAACUGGGGAUGGGGACACUGACAAUGAAGAUGUGCGUACGCUUUAUAAGCGCUACUUGCGUGCGAAAAUUCAUAACCUCCACUUGAGCUCAGCGAAGCUUGAUGUGGAGGUUAAAUUGCUUAAACAGCAGCUGAAUGAUAACCAAUAAAGGGAACAAAAAUAAAGGCUUUAUUGUACAACAUGGAUCUCUUACAUUAUUCUUCAGCAUGUUCCUCUAUUCAGAAUCAGAAUUAUUUGUAUUGCCAAGUACACUCUCAUAUACAGGACAUUGACUUGGUGAUUUCAGAGCAUGGGACAGACAGAAUAUUGAUAAAUAGAAUAAAAAUAAGGGUCAUAGUCAAACAUACAAAUAAUCAAAACAGUAUUACAGUAUGAGCAUACUGUGCAAGAGAAAGUGUUAACAAAAUAGCAAUAAAUGAUGUGCACUUGCUAUGAUGUGUUGAAUAAAUAAGGAUGCAAACUAAAGUGCAAACUGCAGUGCAUUGUGUGCG